GAUGAACGCUGGCGGCGUGCCUAAUACAUGCAAGUCGAGCGAACAGACGAGGAGCUUGCUCCUCUGACGUUAGCGGCGGACGGGUGAGUAACACGUGGAUAACCUACCUAUAAGACUGGGAUAACUUCGGGAAACCGGAGCUAAUACCGGAUAAUAUAUUGAACCGCAUGAUUCAAUAGUGAAAGACGGUUUUGCUGUCACUUAUAGAUGGAUCCGCGCCGCAUUAGCUAGUUGGUAAGGUAACGGCUUACUAAGGCAACGAUGCGUAGCCGACCUGAGAGGGUGAUCGGCCACACUGGAACUGAGACACGGUCCAGACUCCUACGGGAGGCAGCAGUAGGGAAUCUUCCGCAAUGGGCGAAAGCCUGACGGAGCAACGCCGCGUGAGUGAUGAAGGUCUUCGGAUCGUAAAACUCUGUUAUUAGGGAAGAACAAAUGUGUAAGUAACUAUGCACGUCUUGACGGUACCUAAUCAGAAAGCCACGGCUAACUACGUG
rnacentral:rRNA from 1 species